GACGAACGCUGGCGACGCGCUUAACACAUGCAAGUCGAACGGAAAGGCCUGCUUUCCCUUGUGGAUUGCGGGUACUCGAGUGGCGAACGGGUGAGUAACACGUGAGUGAUCUGCCCCCAACUUGGGUAUAAGCCUGGGAAACUGGGUCUAAUUCCCGAUAGGACUGCAGGGUGGUGCCUGUGGUGGAAAACGAUUUUCUAGUGGUUGGGGAUGAGCUCGCGGCCUAUCAGCUUGUUGGUGGGGUAAUGGCCUACCAAGGCGGCGACGGGUAGCCGGCCUGAGAGGGUGGACGGCCACAUUGGGACUGAGAUACGGCCCAGACUCCUACGGGAGGCAGCAGUGGGGAAUAGUGCACAAUGGGCGGAAGCCUGAUGCAGCGACGCCGCGUGGGGGAUGACGGCCUUCGGGUGGUAAACUCCUUUCGACCGCGAGGAAGCCACCUGGUUGGAAGGGUGGUGACGGUAGUGGUAGAAGAAGCACCGGCUAACUACGUG
rnacentral:rRNA from 1 species